AGCGAACGCUGGCGGCAGGCCUAACACAUGCAAGUCGGACGAAGCCUUCGGGCUUAGUGGCGGACGGGUGAGUAACACGUGGGAACGUACCUUUUGGUUCGGAACAACUCAGGGAAACUUGAGCUAAUACCGGAUGAGCCCUUAGGGGGAAAGAUUUAUCGCCGAAAGAGCGGCCCGCGUUAGAUUAGCUGGUUGGUGAGGUAAAGGCUCACCAAGGCAACGAUCUAUAGCUGGUCUGAGAGGAUGAUCAGCCACACUGGGACUGAGACACGGCCCAGACUCCUACGGGAGGCAGCAGUGGGGAAUCUUGCGCAAUGGGCGAAAGCCUGACGCAGCCAUGCCGCGUGAAUGAUGAAGGUCUUAGGAUUGUAAAAUUCUUUUACCAGGGACGUUAAUGACGGUACCUGGAGAAAAAGCCCCGGCUAACUUCGUGCCAGCCGCCGCAGUAA
rnacentral:rRNA from 1 species